UUACUUACCUGGCAGGGGAGAUACCAUAAUCACCAAGGUAAUUUUCCCAGGGCAAGGCUCGACCAUUACACCCCAGAUGUGAUCCCCCAGAUGUGGGGAACCCGACUGCAUCAUUUGUCACAGUGGAGAGGUGUGUUCACACUUUCCCCUG
rfam:Camelus ferus unplaced genomic scaffold scaffold1645, whole genome shotgun sequence.